rnacentral:rRNA from 1 species
UACGUAGGGGGCAAGCGUUGUCCGGAAUCAUUGGGCGUAAAGCGCGUGUAGGCGGCUCGAUAAGUCUGCUGUGAAAGUUCAGGGCUCAACCCUGAAAUGCCGGUGGAAACUGUCGAGCUAGAGUCCGGAAGAGGCGAGUGGAAUUCCUGGUGUAGCGGUGAAAUGCGUAGAUAUCAGGAGGAACACCAAUGGCGAAGGCAGCUCGCUGGGACGGUACUGACGCUGAGACGCGAAAGCGUGGGGAGCAAACAGG